rnacentral:rRNA from 1 species
UACGUAGGGGGCAAGCGUUGUCCGGAUUUAUUGGGCGUAAAGAGCGUGUAGGCGGCCAGGUAGGCCCGUUGUGAAAACUCGAGGCUCAACCUCGAGACGCCGAUGGAAACCAUCUGGCUAGAGUCCGGAAGAGGAGAGUGGAAUUCCCGGUGUAGCGGUGAAAUGCGCAGAUAUCGGGAAGAACACCCGUGGCUAAGGCGGCUCUCUAGUACGGUACUGACGCUGAGACGCGAAAGCGUGGGGAGCGAACAGG